rnacentral:rRNA from 1 species
GACGAACGCUGGCGGCGUGCCUAAUACAUGCAAGUAGAACGCUGAAGGAGGAGCUUGCUUCUCUGGACGAGUUGCGCACGGGUGAGUAACACGUAGGUAACCUGCCUCGUAGCGGGGGAUAACUAUUGGAAACGAUAGCUAAUACCGCAUAAGAGUAGAUGUUGCAUGACAUUUGCUUAAAAGGUACAAUUUCAUCGUUACCAAUUGGACCUGCGUCGGAUUAGCUAGUUGGUGGGGUAACGGCUCCCCAAGGGGACGACACAUAGCCGACCUGAGAAGGUGGUCGGCCACACUGGGACUGGGACACGGCCCAAGCUCCCACGGGGAGCAGGAGUAGGGGAACUUCGGGAAAGGGCGGAAGGCUGACCGAGGAACGGCGCGUGAGGGGAGGAGGGUCUCGGAUCGUAAAGCUCCGUUGUAAGGGAAGAAAGAGAGUGGGAGUGGAAAGUGCACGCUGUGACGGUAUCUAACCAGAAAGCGACGGCUAACUACGUG